rnacentral:rRNA from 1 species
CCGCCUGGCCGCGGGAUUUCCGUAGGUGANACCUGCGGAAGGAUCAUUCACACGAAUUAUCCAAAUCCACGUGCAUCUCUUGAGUGAGGGUCGCAGAAGGGCUGGAGACGGCCAUCUGUGUUCUCUCGAGGCUGGUCUGGGGUGGACUGGAGCCUUCGGGCGACCUUUCCAUCCUGGCCAGCACCCAAACCUUUCACAUCCCUGUGAAUCCUGCUUUGUUGCUAGUGCCUUCAAGGCGCUACACAUCAAACAUCACAACUUUUAGCGAUGGAUGCCUCGGCUCGAACAACGAUGAAGGGCGCAGCGAAAUGCGAUAAUCACUGUGAAUUGCAGAAUUCCGUGGAUCAAUAGAACCCUGAACGCAUCCUGCGCUUUCGGGAUAUCCCUGAAAGCAUGUCUGCUUCAGAGUCUCCACUGUAUCCUGCAGCAUUGGCCUUGAGCCUGGCUGCGUUUCUGCGCGUCAGAGCGCGCCCUAGCCUUCCUCUGUGAGAGCUGGCGGCCGCUCUGACGUGUUUAAUGCAUCAACCUGCCUUGAGAGCGCCAACUUGGUGAUCGCCUUUGCUGGUGUUUCAUCUGUGUUCGCCUCAAGCAAUGGGGUUGCUUCUUCAUUGCUGCCUUUAAGGUAGUGAACCAAGACAUGAAGUUAGGCAAGGUUACCCGCUGAAUUUAAGCAUAUCAAUAAGCGGAGGA